rnacentral:rRNA from 1 species
AGCGGCGAACGGGUGAGGAAUACAUGGGUAACCUACCCUCGAGUGGGGAAUAACUAGCCGAAAGGUUAGCUAAUACCGCGUACGCUCCUUGGACUUCGGUUCAGGGAGGAAAGCGAUACCGUGGGUAUCGCGCUCUUGGAUGGGCUCAUGUCCUAUCAGCUUGUUGGUGAGGUAACGGCUCACCAAGGCUUCGACGGGUAGCUGGUCUGAGAGGACGAUCAGCCACACUGGCACUGCGACACGGGCCAGACUCCUACGGGAGGCAGCAGUAAGGAAUAUUGCGCAAUGGGCGAAAGCCUGACGCAGCGACGCCGCGUGGGGGAUGAAGGUCUUCGGAUUGUAAACCCCUUUCGGGAGGGAAGAUGGAGUGGGGUAACCCAUUCGGACGGUACCUCCAGAAGCAGCCACGGCUAACUUCGUGCCAGCAGCCGCGGUAAUACGAAGGUGGCAAGCGUUGUUCGGAUUUACUGGGCGUACAGGGAGCGUAGGCGGUUCGGUAAGCCCUUUGUGAAAUCUCCAGGCUUAACCUGGAAAAGUCGGAGGGGACUGCCGGGCUAGAGGACGGGAGAGGAGCGCGGAAUUCCCGGUGUAGCGGUGAAAUGCGUAGAGAUCGGGAGGAAGGCCGGUGGCGAAGGCGGCGCUCUGGAACGUUUCUGACGCUGAGGCUCGAAAGCGUGGGGAGCAAACAGGAUUAGAUACCCUGGUAGUCCACGCCUU